GUGUUGUAUGAAAGGAAAGAAAAUUAGUAUUUCCCUUCAUAAGGUUGGAAGAGCUCCUUGUGACCUUUAUAACAUAUGUAUGUCAAGUCAAGGAAACAAAUACGUAUUAAACAUUUAGUAUGU